ensembl:snRNA U6 U6 spliceosomal RNA
GUACUCACUUCGGCAGCACACAUAUACUAAAAUUGGAGCCAUAUAGAGAAGAUUAGCAUGGCCCCGUCCAAGGAAGACACAAUAAGUGUUCUGUAUUUUU